AUCAGGAAGCAGCAGGCGCGCAAUUACCCACUCCCGGCACGGGGAGGUAGUGACGAAAAAUAACGAUACGGGACUCAUCCGAGGCCCCGUAAUCGGAAUGAGCACACUUUAAACCCUUUAACGAGUAUCCAUUGGAGGGCAAGUCUGGUGCCAGCAGCCGCGGUAAUUCCAGCUCCAAUAGCGUAUAUUAAAGUUGUUGCGGUUAAAAAGCUCGUAGUUGGAUGUGUGUCCCACGCUGUCGGUUCACCGUUCGUCGGUGUUUAACUGGCAUGCCCGUGUGGACGUCCUGCCGGUGGAUGCGGUCGGCCGUGGGCUUCGGUCUGCGCGUCGGCGGUCCGAUGCAAUCCUACCGCGGUGCUCUUCACCGAGUGUCGAGGUGGGCCGGCACGUUUACUUUGAACAAAUUAGAGUGCUUAAAGCAGGCAGUGGUUCGCCUGAAUAUUGUGUGCAUGGAAUAAUGGAAUAGGACCUCGGUUCUAUUUUGUUGGUUUUCGGAACUUGAGGUAAUGAUUAAUAGGGACAAAUGGGGGCAUUCGUAUUGCGACGUUAGAGGUGAAAUUCUUGGAUCGUCGCAAGACGAACCUAAGCGAAAGCAUUUGCCAUAAGUGUUUUCAUUAAUCAAGAACGAAAGUUAGAGGUUCGAAGGCGAUCAGAUACCGCCCUAGUUCUAACCAUAAACGAUGCCAGCUAGCGAUCCGCCGAAGUUCCUCCGAUGACUCGGCGGGCAGCUUCCGGGAAACCAAAGCUUUUGGGUUCCGGGGGAAGUAUGGUUGCAAAGCUGAAACUUAAAGGAAUUGACGGAAGGGCACCACCAGGAGUGGAGCCUGCGGCUUAAUUUGACUCAACACGGGAAACCUCACCAGGCCCGGACACCGGAAGGAUUGACAGAUUGAGAGCUCUUUCUUGAUUCGGUGGAUGGUGGUGCAUGGCCGUUCUUAGUUGGUGGAGCGAUUUGUCUGGU
rnacentral:rRNA from 1 species